rnacentral:lncRNA from 1 species
GUGAAGAGGACUUAAGUAAAAACUAAGCAUCGACGCUAUGCACUGAGGAGCACUAGGAGGAGGAGGAAUCAUAAAAGAGUCACCAUGCCUUCUGUCUUCUCAAGAAACCUCAGUCGUUCCUGUGACUCCAUUCUGUUAGCCACACAAUGGCAUCCAGAGCUAAGUGACAAGAUGCAGUUUCCUCAGAAAGCCAAGAGGAAAAAAAUGGUGUGUUUGUGUGUGACUCUACAUGUGUGAAAGUCCAGAGACCAAAAGAAGUAACAGGAUUUCUUGAAGCUAGAGUUACAGGAAGAUGUGAGACGUGGGUGCUGAGAACCAAACCCAAGUCUUCUGGAAGUGAAGCAUGUGUCUUUGGCUGCUGGGCCAUCUCUCCAGUACAAAUUGUAUAAUUUAAAAAUCAGAAGAUGGAAGAAACUCCCAUGCUCAUGGAUUGGCAGGAUUAAUACAGUAAAAAUGGCUAUCUUGCUAAAAGCAAUCUACAGAUUCAAUGCAAUCCCCAUCAAAAUGCCAACUCAAUUCUUCACUUAGUUUGAAAGGGCAAUUUGCAAAUUCAUCUGGAAUAACAAAAAACAUAGGAUAACGAAAACUAUUCUCAACAAUAAAAGAACUUCUAGUGGAAUCACCAUUCCUGACCUCAAGCUGUACUACAGAGCAAUUGUGGUAAAAAGCUGCAUGGUAUUGGUACAAUGACAGACAGGUAGAUGAAUGGAAUGGAAUUGAAGACCCAGAAAUUAACCUACACACCUAUGGUCACUUACUCUUUGACAAGGGAGCUAAAACCAUCCCGUGGAAAAAAGAGAGCAUUUUCAACAAAUGGUGCUGAAAAUUGAACAUAGUACUAUCGGAAGAUGCAGUCUCACAACUUUUCUACUAAUUCAAAUUCAAAGAAAACAUACAAAUAGAGCCUUUAUUAUCUGGAAGUAGAACCUCAUGAUCACAGGCACUACCUUAGAGGAAUCUUGUUUCUUUCUGCUUCUGUGUCUACCAUAGAUUACUAGCAUACUGAACCAGGCUCAGGGCAAAUGGGUAAUUAAUAGUUAACACUUAGUCACUUAAACAGAUUAAGUCCAAGAAAAUGUGAAUUCAUACUAAAACACACCAAUCUACACAGAAAUGUACCACUGGAGGGAAGGAACAAAGUAAAUAAGCAAUAUUUUUGAGAUCCACAUAUUUCAGAUAUUAAUUUUCUCUAUGUCAAAACAUUGUGUAUUUAUGGUAGACACCUUCGAAGGGACUAUGGUAGGACACUUAUCUGUCAUGAGCAGGGUGUUGGAUCCUAUCUUCAGAACUGUAAGCAACAGCAACAAUAACAACAAAACUUUCAAAAAACAUAAUUGAAAGCAAAACACGAUCAAGAAACAAAAGAUUAUAAAAAAUACUUGAGAUAUUUUUAAAAGAACCAAGUAGGUAUUUUAUGUUAAAAUAUAAUUAAUGAAGACUGGAGAGAUUUCUCAAUGGUUAGGAAAACUUGCUGCUCUUGAAGAGGACCCAGGUUCAGUUCCCAACACUGGGUAGUUCACAGAAUCCUAUAAUUCCAGUUUACCGCUUAUGACCCCUGGAGCACCCACAAACCAGUGCAUAUACAUAUAGAGAAAUACACAUAAACACUAAAUCUUGAAAUUUUAUUUUAAAAUGUAUUUACAAUGUUAUAAAUAAUAUCAUAUUUUGAAAUUCUUCCUCUACAACUAAUUAGUAGAUUUAUAUUGUUAGUUUACAUUUGGACUUAAGUUAUCAUUUGACAAUGGAAAUGCAUUCUGGUACAGUGAUUUUCCUAUACAUAGCGUUUUUAAAAAUUAAAGAGAAAAAUAAACAUGAAACCACCUGCAGAUCCUUUAAUUUAUAAUGCUAUCUUGCCUGCUCUAUGCUAGGUGGUGCAAAGCUUGUGGAAAUAACUAACCCAUAUCUGAUUUGACUUGAUGCCCACUCCACAAGAUGAAACCCAUACCUGACAUUGCUUAGGUAACAAAAACAUACAAAAAUUAAAAAUUAAAGAAGAAAUUUAACAAAAACAUUAAAAAAUUAAAGAAGAAAUUUAGAAUAUAUUAAAUAUAUUAUUAAACACAAAAUAAUAUUAAGCUAGAAUAUAGCUUAAAGAGGAAUCUAAAUAUGUCAAUAAUUCUAAUGAAUGUAAACAGUUUAAACUUUCCAAUUGAAAGGCAGAGAUUGCCAUUUUUAACAGAAGGAAACAAUAUGAGAAGACUGUUGUAUGGAAAAUAUAAGGUGUCACCAAGGUUGCCUAUGACACACUAUGACCUUAGGAUGUGCCAUUCACUACUGUGUUGUAGAGCAUCAAAAGCUUUAUAAAUAUUUAGCAAAUGAAUUUAUGAAGACAAGUUGUUGAAUUCAGAGUGCACAAUAGAAUUUCAUCACAUUAAGAGAAAAAUCUACGUUUGAAUAAGUAGAGUAGACUUUAAAGCAGGACUGAUGUGUACCAGUCACCCCAGUGAAACACCAUGGGUUACUUACAAAGACAGCUGUGAAGAUUUCAGUCCAUGUCAGCGUGGCUUCUUGGGCAUACUCAAGACAGCACCAUGACUAAAGAGUUCACUAAACUAUCCAAGAAGCAAAGGAAGGGACCAUUGUUCCACAGUCCCUAAGGGCUACUAGCAAGCUGUACUUCCAAAAGUUUCCAUCAGCUCUCAGUAGUGUCCUGUGAAGAUGAAACUUUUAAUGUGUGUGGCUUUACAGCCAAGAUCUAACCACAGCUAGAUGGAAAUACAGGAGGCAGAGGGGUUGUUGGCAGGCAGCACCUAAUGUUGGCCUCAUUCAUACAGCAAAUAUGGUAACCACAGUACUAGCCAGAGUACCAACUCAACACUACACUCAAAAUACUACAUUCAAUUCAUGAACAUUUUUCCUAAAGAAUUAAGUACCAGAAAAAGGUAAUAAAAGAAGAGAACUGAAAUGUUAGGUACAGGGAAUAAUGAGGGACUCUAAUCCUUUCCCUUGUGAUGCUGUUUAUAAUCCCUGCUGUGUGUUGACAAACAUAUGUGGCUUCACUCCUCACACACCUUCGAAUGCAAGAUAAGGCUAACACCUUGUUUACCCUCUGAUGACUGAUUCUCAGUUCUCCAUGUUUUUCCUGAGGAGUUAGUGCUUCUGUUUAUAAUGGAUGACAGGUUUGGUUUUCAUUAUCAAAUAUCUGUAUGAAGUGAAGUCUUGGUGAGUAUUCAUAAUGUCCUAAAACUUAAUGUCUUGUUCUAGAAAUGGCCUUUUUCAAACUCAUCAUCUUCCAGAGCCCCGCUGCACCUUUGUUUUGCUUUUAACAACCACUGUAUGUCCAGGAAGAAGCAACUAUAUGUAGACAAAGAUUCUUCUUGAUACAGUUGGUAUCAAACGUGGGAAAUGCAUUUAAAAUAUGACCUAGAAAUCGUGCUCAAGGAUUCAUACCUCAUAUCAUUUCAACGAAAGUAGGUAAUGCCUCUUCUGACAGAAAAGAAAUGCAAACUCACAUAGAAGUAAAUUGCCUUUAACCCAGACUUCAACAAAUUCCCACAAAUUAACCUACAAGGAAAAUAACCAUAUCACAUUAAAAAUAUUAAAAAUAUGAUGAAAAUAAAUCAACUAGCCAGGUAUGGAAACACAUAUGUAAAAUCCUAGCACUGAGGCCAAGGCAAUGAGACUGUGACCAUGAAGCCAUUUGGAGUCACAUAGCAAGACUAUAACCUAAUAGAUAAGUAAAUACUAAGACAAGAAAUUGUGAGUGAAAACAAUGAGUAAAAAUAAUCAAUAGCAGGACCAGCUCUGUAGGCAAUGUAUAUUCAUUACAUUCAUUAUAUUUAAAGAAGCAGGAAACAUGUUUUAAUAACAGUAAAAGAAAUAGAAAACUCAGAUAACCUAGGAAAAAGUUGAAGUGUUAAAUAACACUUGGAAGGCAGAACCUUCCAACUAUCUCUGUGUUACUACCCCAUCUCAGCACCAAGGCAGAUCUGUCACUGUUUUCUUAGUAAUGCUGUUAUAUAUUAUUUAGCUCCAGUCAGGAAGAGCAAGCAGUCAACUGGUCUACCUACUCUUGCUAUAAAGAAGCAAAAACUCACAUUAAUUUCCCAGUGUAUUUCUUCAGUUUACUUGUUGGUUCUGUUGUGAGAAAGUAUCUUCUGCAAAAGCCCCAAGCUUAUUGAUCCCCUUAUAUGUGUAUGACCAUAAUUUUCUGUUUUCUUAAUUCGUAUGUUCUCUACCCAAAAUUUCAAUUCCCAUGGUUAAUUUUGCAUUUUAAAUUGACUAGGCUGCAAAAGUAUAAAAGAGUAAGUUUAUUCGGCUUUCCUUUUGCAUGUUGAAUCAAAACGUAUCUGUGACAUUAUUUGCUUGUCUUUCCAAACUCAACAAAAAUGAAAUUAUUGGUUUUCUUGAUAUAGAGCAGUAUUCCUGCGACAGUCUUGUUUCUUUCUUGCACUGAUUCAAUACAAAAUAACAGUCAGACAUCUUAGCCUGCCCUAGGCUUGAAGUGUGCUAGACAAGAACACAAAGGACUUUAAUUAAAUUGCUGCAUUGAUGGUAGACUGACUUUUCUUCCAAAGGAAUGAGUGGCUCCUUUUCCAUUUGUUAUAGAUCAGAAGACGUUAGUACAGCAUUCUCCCAUUGAGGUAGAAUUAGAAAUGUAACAAAAACUAAAAGCAUUACAACUAUAUACAAACAGAUUAUAAAACUUUUAAUGGGACUGGAGAGAUAAUUCAUCAGAUAAGAGAAUUUGUUUUACAAGCAUGAGAACCUGAGUUCAGAUCCCAGCAGCUGCAUAAAUAUCUGGGUAUGGCUACAUGCCUUCUUGUAACUCCAGCACUGUUAGGAGUAAAGACAGGAAGGUUUCUAGGUUAUGCUGGAUGCCAGCCUAGCUCCCAAUUAGCUAUGAGAAUGAAGUAAUAAAGGGGUGAGAGACAGAAAAAGACAGCUGGUGCCUUCCUCUGAUCUCCAUUUACAUGUACAAGCAUAUAUACUCUCACACACACUUAGAUUCACCUCAAAUAUACAUACAUACAUACAUACAUACAUACAUGCAUACAUAUACAUAUACACUCAGAAUUAAAUUAUUCAUCUUUAUUUUUUUAAGAGGAAUGCAUGGAAGAGAAAUCUAGUAAAAAAAUCUAAAAUAGUAAUUACAAGGAACUUUCUCCUGAAAUAUAAAUGUAAAAUAAAUUAAUUCAACAAAUU